rnacentral:rRNA from 1 species
GAUGAACGCUGGCGGCGUGCCUAAUACAUGCAAGUAGAACGCUGAAGCUUGGUGCUUGCACCGAGCGGAUGAGUUGCGAACGGGUGAGUAACGCGUAGGUAACCUGCCUCUUAGCGGGGGAUAACUAUUGGAAACGAUAGCUAAUACCGCAUAAAAGUCGAUAUCGCAUGAUAUUGAUUUGAAAGGUGCAAAUGCAUCACUAAGAGAUGGACCUGCGUUGUAUUAGCUAGUUGGUGAGGUAACGGCUCACCAAGGCGACGAUACAUAGCCGACCUGAGAGGGUGAUCGGCCACACUGGGACUGAGACACGGCCCAGACUCCUACGGGAGGCAGCAGUAGGGAAUCUUCGGCAAUGGGGGCAACCCUGACCGAGCAACGCCGCGUGAGUGAAGAAGGGUUUCGGAUCGUAAAGCUCUGUUGUAAGAGAAGAACGAGUGUGAGAGUGGAAAGUUCACACUGUGACGGUAUCUUACCAGAAAGGGACGGCUAACUACGUG